GGCAACGUGUCCGAGUGGUUAUGGAGCUGCACUCGAACUGUCCCAUCUCGGGAUCCAAGAAAUGCAGUGGCUUCGGCCGCGUAGGUUCGAAUCCUGCCGUUGUCG
rfam:Nectria haematococca mpVI 77-13-4 chromosome 6 genomic scaffold NECHAsca_20_chr6_4_0, whole genome shotgun sequence.